rnacentral:sRNA from 1 species
CCCUAUAACGCGCCGAGCUCCAUCCGAUAGGCAGAGGGAUUCCAACCGCGGAUGGAGGCGGGGGACCCACCAGGUCCGCCGAGAUCGGACCGGGGCCAGCCAUGGCCCCUUGGGGUGAAGCCGAAGUCGUUCACCGAAGUACGACGUUGGCCGGGUGACCUCUCUAGUUCGAAUCCAACCCGAACCCGACAGCUGACCUCGUAGGCGUGUACAGAGAGGAAUU